CCACAAGUGUAUGCAGCCCACAGAUGUAUGAAGCCCACAGGUGUAUGCAACCUACAGGUGUAUGCAGCCCGCAGGUGUAUGAAGCCCACAGGUGUAUGCAGUCUACAGACGUAUGAAGCCCACAGGUGUAUGCAGCCCACAGAUGUAUGAAGCCCACAGGCGUAUGCAACCUACAGGUGUAUGCAGCCCAAAGAUGUAUCAGUCCACAAGUGUAUGCAGCCCACAGGUGUAUGUAGCCCACAGGUGCAUGCAGCCCAUGGUAUCUACAUGCAAUGCAGGUGUCAUAUACCUUGAGGGGAUUCUUGGGCCAAAUGCAACAUACACUUAAGCCCAGAACUGGAUGAGGUAACCAGACAUGGCAGGUGGCCCAGCCCUAUGCCUUCAGAUGAUAAAAUGUCGUUUCAUUAAAGAAGUACAAGAAGUCUGAAAAAGUGAAGCGACUUGCCCCACGCAGCAGGUAAGGGUGGAUGGGACUGGGGAAGGAAGAAAGCCUUGAGCAGGGUCCCAUGUAAUGCAGAUUAAAUGGCGAGUGCGUAUCAGACUGUCUGUCACAUGCCAAGUGCUCAGUUAAUGUUAGCUACCAUGGGUUUUAUUGUUUUCCCAUCCAACCAUGCCUUUGCUGCUAUUUCUCAUAAGCACAAUCUCUGACUAUGUGGAUUUCCCACUGCAGCUCAACCUGAUACCAGCCGACUGUCUACAGCAGUAGCUGAAGGCACAAGCUUUGAACUAGACUUGAAUCCUAGCUCUGCUGUGCCCCAACUGUGUGAUUUGGGCCAGUGUCACUACCUUUCUGAGCCUCGAUUUCCUCUUCUGCAAAAUGGGCUAACAGCACUUCCCUCGGAGACUUACUGGAAAGAAGAAAUGGUCCCACUGUGCAAAGGACUCAUCCCAGGGCUUUGCCCAGAGCAAGUCCCUGGCUAUUUAUUUAUUUUUUAUUUUUAUUUAUUUAUUUUUUUUGAGAUGGAGUCUCGUCUCUGUCGCCCAGGCUGGAGUGCAGUGGUGCGAUCUCGGCUCACUGCAAACUCCGCCUAAUUUUGUGUAUUUUUUUUUAGUAGAGACGGGGUUUCACCGUGUUCUCCAGGAUGGUCUCGAUCUCCUGACCUCAUGAUCCGCCCGCCUCGGCCUCCCAAAGUGCUGGGAUUACAGGCGUGAGCCACCACGCCCGGUCAGUCCUUGGCUAUUUAUUUAGCAAAUAUAUAUUGAGUACCUGCCAUGUGUCAAACACUCUUCUGGGCUCUCAGGAUACAGAAAUGGUCAAAACAGAGAAAAUUUGUCUCCUUGGAGAACUUAUAUUCCAGGGGGGAAGUCAGGUGAUAAACAAAUAAAUAUACUGGCCGGGCAUGGUGGUUCACGCCUGUAAUUCCAGCACUUUGGGAGGACAAGGUGGGCGGGUCACCUGAGGUCAGGAGUUCAAGAUCAGCCUGGCCAACAUGGUGAAACCCCAUCUCUACUGAAAAUACAAAAAUUAGCCAGGCAUGGUGGUGGGUGCCUAUAAUCCCAGCUACUUGGGAGGUUGAGGCAUGAGAAUCGCUUGAACCCGGGAGGCAGAAGUUGCAGUGAGCUGAGAUUGUGUGGCUGCACUCCAGCCUGGGCAACAGAGCAAGACCCUGUCUUAAAAAAUAAAUAAAUAAUGCCAAGAAAUUUCAUGUGCUAUGAAGAAAAAUAAAAUAAGGUAAAGGAAUAAAGAGUAACACAGGAAGACGCUUUUCUAGAUGGUGUAGUGAGGGAAGGUUUCUCAGGAGGUGGCAUUUGGACAGAGCCCUGAAUGAAGUGAUGGAGUGAGUCACGAAGAUCCCUAGAGGAACAGCUAGUUGGCAAAGAGGAAAGAGAAGUCGUCGUCGUCGUCAUCAUCAUCAUCAUCAUCAUCAUCAUCAACUACUUUUCCACCACAAGCACAUAGUAGGUACUCAAUCAAUAUUUGAAUGACCACAAAGGGUGAGAAAUGCAAGUGCAACUCAGACCCACAAAAGAAUAGUGGGGUGAGUAUAAGAAGAAAAUCAAGGCUGGCUUGAAUGCCUGGUUCUAUGUCCUGUCUCUCUCUUUCCCUUUGUCUCUUUGUCUCUCUCUCCCCCUCGAUUUUUCUUUUUUUUCUUGAGACAGGGUCUCACUCUGUUGCCCAGGCUGGAGUGCAGUGGCAACAUCACAGCUCACUGCAACCUUGAACUCCUCAAUCUUCCUGCCUCAGCCUCCCGAGUAGCUGGAACUACAGGUGUGUGCCACCACACAGGCUAAUUUCUUAAAUUUCUGGAGACAGGCUCUUGUUAUGUGGCCCAGGCUCUUCUUG
rnacentral:lncRNA from 10 species